rnacentral:lncRNA from 1 species
GCUAUAGUCAGAUGUUUAUAAAGAACCACGUUCCAACACUGUCGUUUCACAGCUUCGCCAGGUAAUUUUACCACGGCUAGCCUUGGGAAAAAGCAAGCGUGAACAACUUCCUAAAGCAUCCGCAGGGAAUGUAAACCAGGAGAGCAACGUAAUAUUGCAAAAAAGGUACUCGUGUUAGGUUGAGUUGGAAAAAAAAAAAACUAGUACACGUUGACGAUGAGUUCAAGCUAGUCAAGAACUUCAAACUUCUAAGAGUCUUCGCCAGGUAAUUUUACCACGACUAGCCUUGGGAAAAAGCAAGCGAGAACAACUUCCUAAAGCAUCCGCAGGGAAUGUAAACCAGGAGAGCAACGUAAUAUUGCAAAAAAGGUACUCGUGUGAGGUUGAGUUGGAAAAAAAAAAACUAGUACAUGUUGACGAUGAGUUCAAGCUAGUCAAGAACUUCAAACUUCUAAGAGAUCUUGAGCAUUGUUGCAUGCAAGGUUCAUGCUCGAAAC